rnacentral:tRNA from 1 species
GUCAGGGUCGCAUAGCGGUAUUGCGGUAGCCUGCUAAGUUACUGUCCUUUAAGGACGCGGGGGUUCGAAUCCCUCCCCUGACG